rnacentral:rRNA from 1 species
GACGAACGCUGGCGGCGUGCUUAACACAUGCAAGUCAGGGAGAAAAGGGUAGCAAUAUCCUGAGUAAACCGGCGAACGGGUGAGUAACACGUAGGCAACUUACCUUGAGAACGGGAAUAACCCCGGGAAACCGGGCUAAUACCCGAUGUUAUUCCGUUGUAGCAUUGCAAUGGAAUAAAAAGCCCGCAAGGGCGUCACAAGAUAGGCCUGCGUCCCAUUAGAUAGUUGGCGGGGUAACAGCCCACCAAGUCGACGAUGGGUAGCUGGUCUGAGAGGACGAUCAGCCACACUGGAACUGAGACACGGUCCAGACUUCUACGG